GGUUAAGCGACUAAGCGUACACGGUGGAUGCCCUGGCAGUCAGAGGCGAUGAAGGACGUGCUAAUCUGCGAUAAGCGUCGGUAAGGUGAUAUGAACCGUUAUAACCGGCGAUUUCCGAAUGGGGAAACCCAGUGUGAUUCGUCACACUAUCAUUAACUGAAUCCAUAGGUUAAUGAGGCGAACCGGGGGAACUGAAACAUCUAAGUACCCCGAGGAAAAGAAAUCAACCGAGAUUCCCCCAGUAGCGGCGAGCGAACGGGGAGCAGCCCAGAGCCUGAAUCAGUGUGUGUGUUAGUGGAAGCGUCUGGAAAGGCGCGCGAUACAGGGUGACAGCCCCGUACACAAAAAUGCACAUGCUGUGAGCUCGAUGAGUAGGGCGGGACACGUGGUAUCCUGUCUGAAUAUGGGGGGACCAUCCUCCAAGGCUAAAUACUCCUGACUGACCGAUAGUGAACCAGUACCGUGAGGGAAAGGCGAAAAGAACCCCGGCGAGGGGAGUGAAAAAGAACCUGAAACCGUGUACGUACAAGCAGUGGGAGCACAGAGCAAUCUGUGUGACUGCGUACCUUUUGUAUAAUGGGUCAGCGACUUAUAUUCUGUAGCAAGGUUAACCGAAUAGGGGAGCCGAAGGGAAACCGAGUCUUAACUGGGCGUUAAGUUGCAGGGUAUAGACCCGAAACCCGGUGAUCUAGCCAUGGGCAGGUUGAAGGUUGGGUAACACUAACUGGAGGACCGAACCGACUAAUGUUGAAAAAUUAGCGGAUGACUUGUGGCUGGGGGUGAAAGGCCAAUCAAACCGGGAGAUAGCUGGUUCUCCCCGAAAGCUAUUUAGGUAGCGCCUCGUGAAUUCAUCUCCGGGGGUAGAGCACUGUUUCGGCAAGGGGGUCAUCCCGACUUACCAACCCGAUGCAAACUGCGAAUACCGGAGAAUGUUAUCACGGGAGACACACGGCGGGUGCUAACGUCCGUCGUGAAGAGGGAAACAACCCAGACCGCCAGCUAAGGUCCCAAAGUCAUGGUUAAGUGGGAAACGAUGUGGGAAGGCCCAGACAGCCAGGAUGUUGGCUUAGAAGCAGCCAUCAUUUAAAGAAAGCGUAAUAGCUCACUGGUCGAGUCGGCCUGCGCGGAAGAUGUAACGGGGCUAAACCAUGCACCGAAGCUGCGGCAGCGACGCUGAUGCGUUGUUGGGUAGGGGAGCGUUCUGUAAGCCUGUGAAGGUGUGCUGUGAGGCAUGCUGGAGGUAUCAGAAGUGCGAAUGCUGACAUAAGUAACGAUAAAGCGGGUGAAAAGCCCGCUCGCCGGAAGACCAAGGGUUCCUGUCCAACGUUAAUCGGGGCAGGGUGAGUCGACCCCUAAGGCGAGGCCGAAAGGCGUAGUCGAUGGGAAACAGGUUAAUAUUCCUGUACUUGGUGUUACUGCGAAGGGGGGACGGAGAAGGCUAUGUUGGCCGGGCGACGGUUGUCCCGGUUUAAGCGUGUAGGCUGGUUUUCCAGGCAAAUCCGGAAAAUCAAGGCUGAGGCGUGAUGACGAGGCACUACGGUGCUGAAGCAACAAAUGCCCUGCUUCCAGGAAAAGCCUCUAAGCAUCAGGUAACAUCAAAUCGUACCCCAAACCGACACAGGUGGUCAGGUAGAGAAUACCAAGGCGCUUGAGAGAACUCGGGUGAAGGAACUAGGCAAAAUGGUGCCGUAACUUCGGGAGAAGGCACGCUGAUAUGUAGGUGAAGUCCCUCGCGGAUGGAGCUGAAAUCAGUCGAAGAUACCAGCUGGCUGCAACUGUUUAUUAAAAACACAGCACUGUGCAAACACGAAAGUGGACGUAUACGGUGUGACGCCUGCCCGGUGCCGGAAGGUUAAUUGAUGGGGUCAGCGCAAGCGAAGCUCUUGAUCGAAGCCCCGGUAAACGGCGGCCGUAACUAUAACGGUCCUAAGGUAGCGAAAUUCCUUGUCGGGUAAGUUCCGACCUGCACGAAUGGCGUAAUGAUGGCCAGGCUGUCUCCACCCGAGACUCAGUGAAAUUGAACUCGCUGUGAAGAUGCAGUGUACCCGCGGCAAGACGGAAAGACCCCGUGAACCUUUACUAUAGCUUGACACUGAACAUUGAGCCUUGAUGUGUAGGAUAGGUGGGAGGCUUUGAAGUGUGG
rnacentral:rRNA from 1 species